CGGGACGUGGCGCAGUCUGGUAGCGCACCUGAAUGGGGUUCAGGGGGUCGCAGGUUCAAAUCCUGUCGUCCCGACCA
rnacentral:tRNA from 1 species